rnacentral:rRNA from 1 species
UGAGGAAUAUUGGUCAAUGGACGCAAGUCUGAACCAGCCAAGUAGCGUGCAGGAUGACGGCCCUAUGGGUUGUAAACUGCUUUUAUAUGGGGAUAAAGUGGGGAACGUGUUCCCUUUUGCAGGUACCAUAUGAAUAAGGACCGGCUAAUUCCGUGCCAGCAGCCGCGGUAAUACGGAAGGUUCGGGCGUUAUCCGGAUUUAUUGGGCGUAAAGAGCUUGUAGGCGGUUCGUCGCGUCUGGUGUGAAAGCCCAUCGCUUAACGGUGGGUUUGCGCCGGGUACGGGCGGGCUAGAGUGCAGUAGGGGAGACUGGAAUUCCCGGUGUAACGGUGGAAUGUGUAGAUAUCGGGAAGAACACCAAUGGCGAAGGCAGGUCUCUGGGCUGUUACUGACGCUGAGAAGCGAAAGCGUGGGGAGCGAACAGG